rnacentral:rRNA from 1 species
CCUUUCGAAAGAAAGAUUAAUACCUGAUGGUAUGAUGAGAUUGCAUGAUAGCAUCAUUAAAGAUUCAUCGGUGUACGAUGGGGAUGCGUUCCAUUAGGUAGUAGGCGGGGUAACGGCCCACCUAGCCUACGAUGGAUAGGGGUUCUGAGAGGAAGGUCCCCCACAUUGGAACUGAGACACGGUCCAAACUCCUACGGGAGGCAGCAGUGAGGAAUAUUGGUCAAUGGACGAGAGUCUGAACCAGCCAAGUAGCGUGAAGGAUGAAGGUCCUACGGAUUGUAAACUUCUUUUAUAAGGGAAUAAAACCUCCCACGUGUGGGAGCUUGUAUGUACCUUAUGAAUAAGCAUCGGCUAACUCCGUGCCAGCAGCCGCGGUAAUACGGAGGAUGCGAGCGUUAUCCGGAUUUAUUGGGUUUAAAGGGAGCGCAGACGGGUCGUUAAGUCAGCUGUGAAAGUUUGGGGCUCAACCUUAAAAUUGCAGUUGAUACUGGCGUCCUUGAGUGCGGUUGAGGUGUGCGGAAUUCGUGGUGUAGCGGUGAAAUGCUUAGAUAUCACGAAGAACUCCGAUUGCGAAGGCAGCUCACUGGAGUGUAACUGACGCUGAUGCUCGAAAGUGUGGG